AAAAAUAUAAUGAAACAUCCCAAAAUUGAAGAAAAUACAAAGAAGCAAAUGGUACUACAACCAUCAAUGCCCUAUGUAAAGUAUGAACUAGAGAAUUCAAAAUGUAAUAUGUAAGGUACUAUAGCCAGUACAAAGAAAUAAGGGAUUCACAUCCUGAAGAUGGUUUUUGUCUUCUAAAAUAUAUAGCUUCUCAUUCUAUUUAGUCACCGGUCACAAAAGACUUCUGCUCAUAGUACUUCUUCUCACUAGCUUCCUUUUUCAAAUUACGUUUCUGUAUUCACACACAAAGACAUUGACUGAGACAUUGGCCAGAGUGAAGCAACAAGAGGAACGAUAAAAAAAAGAAGAAGAAGAAGAUAAACUUGCCUGAUAAGCUUCAUGGUUUGCUACAAUCCUCUUGAUUAUGGUGGAGGUUGAGAUAUCAAGAGGGCUUUCUAGUACUUCGAAUAUGCCCAUGCUUUUUGGUACAGCAUACGGGUUACCUUCCUCCUGUCAAAUCAUUCAACAAGAAUCUUGAGCAAAUCCAGCUCUUUGUAUUCUACCUUGUAUAAAUCUCGUUUUACCUUUUGAAAAUCAUCGCUCUCGGCUACUGUCCCAUGAACCACUUUCCAAAUGUCAAACGUCGUGAUCUGCAAUAUCCAAAUCAUUGUCAAAAUUAGCUUUUCACGAAAGCCAUUUGGGCGUUGUUAAGUAAAGAGCAGAUAAUCUCACCGUAUCUUUUGACACUUCCCAUGGAGCACCAAUUAUCACCUCAUCUACAUAGCGGCAUGCCAGAACACUUAAGCUUCUUUCAUGGAGAUUCAUGAUUGGGUGUUGCGCUCCUCUUUUACCACUGCACAUCAACGUAUAACAAGCACAGUUUGGUCUGGUCCAACGAAUUUAAGCAGAGAUGCAAUUAUGCAAAUCUAAACCAGAAUGGGGACAAGAAGUAUUUAUUUAUGCCUAAAACUAACAUCACCAUUUUUUUGGUCAACACUCAUAUUACCAAUUAAAUUUGAUUAGCCACCAUCACAAUUGCCAGGAAAGGAAAAGACAAAGAUAAACGAAACAAAAACUGAGACAAUCACUAUCAAUCAAUCUGCUAAAGAUGAGCCUUUUCUAACCUGACAGUCUGGUCAUUAUGUAUUCCAACAAGAAGAAAGUCUCCCAGCUCUCGAGCACGCCUGAGAAUCUGUAAGUAUUGAAUAAUCAAGAACAGGUAUCCAGCAGGACUUGCUGAUGUUAUUGAAGAGGUGACUGACUCUUUAAACACUCUAUUACCAAAUGAGAUUUUUAUCUACUCUUUCUGUUUCCUAUAUAAUGAAUAUGCUUUUUACUAUAUAGUCUCACUUUAUUCUAACAGGUUUUGAGGCAGAAGCUUCAUAGAACAUUCAAGAAUGUAAAGAUUGUGUCCAACAGGAUGGUGUUCGAUGAUGAUGGACUGCUUGUGUCUUUUAAAGGUAGAACAUUUGGUGAAUGUUAGUUAGAGACACAAGUUCUACUUUAAUAAACUGCAGUUUCGUUACUUCUUACAAUACAGGAAAGCUGAUUCAUGUGCUAAACAAGAAUGAACACGCUUUAGACAUGGCUGCUCUGCUUCACGACAACCUCGGUGUUGACAAUGGUGGGGAAGGAGAAGAGAAUGCGUACGUGAAACAAAGAACAAACGUUUUGCUUCUAGGAGACCAUAUGGGGGAUCUGAGGAUGUCUGAUGGUUUGAAUUACGACACUCGAAUAUCUAUUGGAUUCCUGUGAGUGUUUUCUUUUGUAUAUUUUUUUUGCUCCGUUCUUUUAUCUCCUCUCACAGCUUUUUGUUUGUUUUCAGGAAUGAUAACGUUGAGAAGAGUCUUGAAAGCUACCGUAAGGCCUUUGAUAUCGUUUAUCUUGUAAGUCACAUACACAUUCUAUGUUUGAACAUUAUGGAUUUAUCUGAAUCGCCUGAUUUUUUUUUUGCUAAAACAGAGAUUUUGUUGUUUCUUUGUGGGUCUAAAAAGAAUGAUGCGCCUAUGUGGGGAGCUCUGGAGAUUGCUUCUCAGUUAUUUCCAACAGAAGAAAGUUAACUGCAAUGCCUGAGACUGAGGAGCAAUGUUAAUUGCAAGACUCUUUCUUCAGUUGUCUUAUUGAAACAAUAUUUUUAACUAGAAUUACUGUGUGGUUUGCUAUUGAGAGACUCUUUAACAAAACCAAAGUGCUCUAACUCAUUGAUGCUUGUAUGAUUAUGUGCCUGUAAGCUAAUAAAAUUCAAGUUCAUAAUCAUUGUAAUUUGAUUGAGCGAAAGUCAAAAAAAUAUAAUGAAACAUCCCAAAAUUGAAGAAAAUACAAAGAAGCAAAUGGUACUACAACCAUCAAUGCCCUAUGUAAAGUAUGAACUAGAGAAUUCAAAAUGUAAUAUGUAAGGUACUAUAGCCAGUACAAAGAAAUAAGGGAUUCACAUCCUGAAGAUGGUUUUUGUCUUCUAAAAUAUAUAGCUUCUCAUUCUAUUUAGUCACCGGUCACAAAAGACUUCUGCUC
rnacentral:lncRNA from 1 species